UACGUAUUGGCUUUACAAAGCUCUACCAGAGAUACCAGGUUUGUACAUAGAAAUAUUCCCAUAUUCAGUGUCAUUAUUGAUCAAGAAAAUGGUGGUCUUUUCUCUUUUGUUUUACAAUUGGCACAAGUCCGGAGCGCCUUUCAGGUUUACUUGGAUCAUUUUCUCUAUUGCCUGCAAAGGAAGAGCCCAAAGGUUCGAUAGGUUCUUUACGUCGUCAGAGCAGUGGAGUUGACAUUGCUUCAAGGAACUUUGAAGGCUCUUCUAAUCCUUCAAAGAUACGCAGAAUUGCUUCGGCCUCGGCCAAUAUCAAUGAUUUGACUUCACAAUGCUCGCCUACGAAUCCAGCUCCUCUUAAGCGGACAAGUAGCUGGUCUGUUGAUGAAAAGUUACUCAUCCAAUCACUAUAUAAGGUUAUGACCUCUGUAUCUAAAGCAUAUCCUAUCAUUUUAUACUUGAGAGACGUGGACAUGAUCUUGUUCAGAUCUCAAAAGCUAUAUAGAUUGUUCCAGAAAAUGUUGCAGAGAUUUUCAGGACCAGUACUCAUAUUAGGUUCACGUAAAACAUCAAGACAGCAAUGAUGGUGACAUUGAUGACAUGCUUGUUGAUUUAUUUCCUUACAACAUUGAAAUUAAGCCACCUGAAGAUGAAACCCAUCUGGUAAGCUGGAAGUCUCAAUUGGAAGAGGAUAUGAAGAUGCUUCAGUGUCAGGACAAAAAAAAAGCAUUGAAAUUAUAUGAGAUUUGUAUUAGAUUUUGUUCUAAGUAUACUAGAAUUUAGUUGUAGAAUUAUUUUUUCACUUGUAAUUACAUUUAUUAUCAACAAUAAUUGAAUUGAUUAA